rnacentral:rRNA from 1 species
CAGGCCUAACACAUGCAAGUCGAACGAACCGCGACUAGGUGCUUGCACUUGGUCAAGGUGAGUGGCGAACGGGUGAGUAACACGUGGGUAACCUACCUCAUAGUGGGGGAUAACAGUCGGAAACGACUGCUAAUACCGCAUAGGACAUAGGAUCACAUGAUCCAGUGAGGAAAGGUGGCGCAAGCUAUCGCUAAGAGAUGGACCCGCGGUGCAUUAGCUAGUUGGUAGGGUAAGGGCCUACCAAGGCGAUGAUGCAUAGCCGACCUGAGAGGGUGAUCGGCCACAUUGGGACUGAGACACGGCCCAAACUCCUACGGGAGGCAGCAGUAGGGAAUCUUCCGCAAUGGACGCAAGUCUGACGGAGCAACACCGCGUGAGUGAAGAAGGUCUUCGGAUCGUAAAGCUCUGUUGUUAGAGAAGAACAGCGCAUAGAGUAACUGUUAUGCGUGUGACGGUAUCUAACCAGAAAGCCACGGCUAACUACGUGCCAGCAGCCGCGGUAAUACGUAGGUGGCGAGCGUUGUCCGGAUUUAUUGGGCGUAAAGGGAGUGUAGGCGGUCUUUUAAGUCUGAUGUGAAAGCCCACGGCUCAACCGUGGAGGGUCAUUGGAAACUGGGAGACUUGAGUGCAGAAGAGGAGAGCGGAGUUCCAUGUGUAGCGGUGAAAUGCGUAGAUAUAUGGAGGAACACCAGUGGCGAAGGCGGCUCUCUGGUCUGUAACUGACGCUGAGGCUCGAAAGCGUGGGGAGCA